GAGGAAUAUUGGGCAAUGCCCGCAAGGGUGACCCAGCAACGCCGCGUGGAGGAUGAAUGUCGUAAGAUUGUAAACUCCUGUUAGAGGGGAAGAAUAGUACCGGUUGGACCGGUAUAUGACUGUACCCUCAGAGAAAGCCCCGGCUAACUACGUGCCAGCAGCCGCGGUAAUACGUAGGGGGCAAGCGUUGUCCGGAUUUACUGGGUGUAAAGGGCGCGCAGGCGGGAUAAAAAGUCAGUGGUGAAAUCCUACAGCUUAACUGUAGAACUGCCUUUGAUACUUUUAUUCUUGAGUUCGGGAGAGAGAGACGGAGUUCCAGGUGUAGUGGUGAAAUACGUAGAUAUCUGGAAGAACACCAGUUGCGAAGGCGGUCUCUUGGUCCGACACUGACGCUGAGGCGCGAAAGCGUGGGGAGCAAAC
rnacentral:rRNA from 1 species